rnacentral:lncRNA from 1 species
UACCAUCCAUCGACUCAAAGCAGCACUAUCCUCAACAGGAACUGCAUUGUCCAUCAACACAUCACUCUGUCCAUCAGAAAGCUUUUGACUCACAGAGUUAUCAUCACUACUUGUCUGUUGCAAAUCUUCCUUGCCUUCUACCUCAGGUUGUGUAAGGACCGUGCUACUUGCAACAGCAGCACUAUCCUCAACAGGAACUGCACUGUUCCUCAACAGGCCAUUCUGUCCAUCAGGAAUCUUUUGACUCACAGCGUUAUCAUCACUACGUGUCUGUUGCAAAUCUUCCUUGCCUUCUACCUCAGGUUGUGUAAGGACCAUGUUACUUGCAGCAGCACCACCAGGACAGCGCCCAAGACGAAGCUCCCGGCAGCAAAUGAGGCAGAUAUCAUAGGAACAUUUAUCACAGCUUCUGUGGAAGUCAACUAUAGAUGUUCUGCAGUUGUUAC